UUAAUUGGCUUAAUAACUAGAUAGACCCUUAAACUUGGCAUGUUUUGUAAGAUAGACAUAUAAACUUAUAAGGUGACCAGAUAGACACUUAAACUUGCUCAAAGUGUAUUUUUCAAACACAUUUGUAUUGAAGACCUGUGUGUGAGGUCCAAACGCCAAUUAUGUAGCAAAUAAAUAAAUACUUUUCCAUGUAAGAAAAUAUAGUCCAACCACGUGUAAUUUUAUUUCCAUGUAAGCAAAUAAGCGUCUGAAGCUAUAGUACCCCUCGUUUGUUCAACCGCGCUUUUUUUUUCGUACCUCCAACUUUAGAACUACUGCAUUCCUCUCCCACUCCUUAUCAAAUUCUUGAGUUUGAAACCACCUACAAUUCUAAAGUCAAAACUCAUCUAAACUCUACAAAAAUCAUGAAAAGGUGGAAAUUUCGUCUUUUGAUCGGGGAUUGAAGGGUUCAUUCUUUGCAUUCAUAGUCAAGGAUUUUGAUGAAUAUUUUCGGAGAUUUCAGUUGAUUUCAUCCCUUCAUUGAUAAAUAGUAGUAAAAGGUAAUCUUUUCGGUACAAAUUUGUGGUUUUCAUGAGUUAAGGCUUUGUCGUUAUUUUGGGUUAAAAGUUAGGGCUUUUGUCAAGGAUUUUGGGGAAUAUUCAUAUUUGUAUAUUCUGCUGCAAUUCCACAUGGAUAGCAUUAUAAAUGUCAGAUUUCACCAUGGGGGAAAAGUAACCGAGACGGGAUUUCCCAAAUACGAGGAGGAGUUAGGGAUUUGGAGGACAUACCUGGUGAAGAUGACAGCGAUGUUGAUGAAGAGUUAAGGGGCUUUAGAGAAAAGCAAAGCAACGAAAAGGAGAGAAGCAAAAAAAAAAAACCGGUGGCACAAGAGAUUGAACUUGGGGAGGUUGGUAUAGAUAGGGGUUUUGAAGACUUUCAACAAAGAAAAGAAAAUAGGUAUAUAGGAAAAUUAGCUGGAGAUGAGGAAUAUAUAGACAACUCUGAUGUUAGCAGUGAUGAUAGUAGGGAUGAGCUAGAUUCUCAAGCUGAAAAGGGGGUUGAUCUACCAGUUAGAAGGCGAAGCAAGAAAGGGCUUAUCCCAACUAUUAAAGAGUUGUUACCCAAUUGCGAACAAAGAAUGUGUAUGAAACACGUAUGGUCCAAUUUGGGCCCAGGAUUGGAGAGGGGAGGAAAGAAGAAAACAAUUUUGGAGGUGUGCUAAGGCUAGCUUUCCUGUAAAGCUUAAAGAUGAACUUGCAGCACUAGGAAAAUUGGGAGAGGGAAUAUGUGAGGACUUACUCUCCCUUGAUAAGGAGCACUGGUGUAAAGCUUAUUUCAGGUAUGAAUCUCAAUGUGAUGUAGUAGAAAAUAAUAUGUGUGAGACAUUUAAUUAUUGGAUUGUAGGUCCAAGACAUAAAUCUAUUAUAAGUAUGCUUGAAGAGAUUAGGCACAAGAUAAUGAGUAGAAAUGUUGAUAUGAGGAAGUUUCCUGAUACUUGGAUUUCAGACAUAGCACCAAUGGCUAGGGUAGUAUUGGAGGGAAACAAGGACUUAGCUAGGAGAUGUGAAGUCCUUUUUAAUGGCGAUGUUGGAUAUGAAAUUUGUGAUGGUGAGUGUAGGCAUAUUGUUAACUUGCCAAAUAGGUCAUGCACUUGUAGACUUUGGAUGUUAAAGGGAAUUCCAUGUCCACAUGCUAUUUGAGCAUUCUAUCACAGUGGAGAAAAAGCAGAGGACUAUGCGGAACAUUGGUAUAGAAAAGACACCUUCCUGGAAGCUUAUAAGUGUUGCCUUCAACCAAUGCCCAAUAUGAAAAUGUGGCCUGAGACAAAUAGUCCAAUAAUUGA